rnacentral:misc_RNA from 1 species
GAAAUGCGAUAAGUAAUGUGAAUUGCAGAAUUCAGUGAGUCAUCGAAUCUUUGAACGCAGCUUGCGCUCCUUGGUAUUCCUUGGAGCAUGCCUGUUUGAGUAUCAUGAAAUCUUCAAAGUAAAUCUUUUGUUAACUCAAUUGGUUUCUACUUUGGUAUUGGAGGUCUUUGCAGCUUCACACCUGCUCCUCUUUGUUCAUUAGCUGGAUCUCAGUGUUAUGCUUGGUUCCACUCGGCGUGAUAAGUUAUCUAUCGCUGAGGACACUGUAAAAGGUGGCCAAGGUAAAUGCAGAUGAACCGCUUCUAAUAGUCCAUUGACUUGGACAAUACUUUUAUGAUCUGAUCUCAAAUCAGGUAGGACUACCCGCUGAACUUAAGC